CCAAGACCUGUGGCAUGGCUUUUGAAGGGACUACAUUGUGAUAACGGAUGGCCAAGGACAUUUAUUAAUCUCCAAAUUUUCGGCAAAGGAGCGAAGGGGGCAACGAACUCAGGCACCCCAGAGUCCGAGGAGAAGAGAAGACAGGAAGGCGCAGUAGAUUUUUUUUUUCACCAAGGAGUUGGCCCCGCAAAAUCUGGAUGGCGCUGCUGGGCCUCCACAAGCCUCCGUCACCUCCGUUGCAAACACUACGAGGCAACAGCAGUCUGCAACUGUUGCUUGUGUCAUUGCAGGGUGCAUGGGCUUCCAUGGGAGCUUCGCUACCAUGCGUACAUAUACCUUCGAUCAGAAAUCAAUCAAUCAGCACAGAAAAUUGGGCCGGACGACGCAACGGUGCUAACGGUGCCAUGGCAGCGGCUUUACGAAAACAAGAAAUCUGAGCUGUCACAUUUUCAGCACAUUUAGUGAUCAAAUGAACGAAAAUGUAGCAUUUAAAAAAGUACUAAACUAUCAGUUUUUCACCGCAAGUAAACUUGGCUGCAAUCCAGGAGAAUUUUAUCCGAGGUGGUGGACCAAUUGACUUAUCCUGAAAGUGCACAAUGUGUGGCCUCGUGGCACAACGCGGUUUGUAACACAAGCCGAUCCUGAGAUUCAAGACGUACUGCCAAUGAAUGUUCUCUGUGUAACACUAAAGCAAAGUUUGUUUAAUGUGAUAUUUUAAUGUAUUUAU